UCGAAGCCUCACAAGCAGUGCGACCCGUGAAUUUGUUUGACGUGUGAGGGAUGGCUAGAGGUGUUCGGCAUCUCGGUCCCCCUCGUGUCGGAGGCGCCGGACCUUGUGCGGUCUCCUCCCGGUUGAAUAACAAAACCCCGGCGCCGAACGCGCCAAGGAAAUCGAAAUCGUUUAGUGCGCCCCCGUCGGCUCGGAGACGGUGCUCGUGCGGGCGGUGAUGCGACACGCGUAUCCGAA
rnacentral:rRNA from 1 species